rnacentral:lncRNA from 1 species
CUUCACCUGUCAGCUUCACCUUCAAUCUCUCCUUUCUAGGGAGAUUCUAUAUAUAAGACUCUGGUCUGGACUCAGGACGUCUUUUCUAUUUGUCUAGGACUUGUUGGUAUUUGCACUCUGAAUAUAUUCUAGCUGGUCUCGACUGCGUUAAGCGAUAUAUGUUUUUUGAGGUAACUUCCACCUUGAAAACAAUCAUAAAAUCAAAAUCAUAAAAUUACCUUUUUAUGAAUUAACUUUUAAAAGUGUGCUAAAAAAUAUAUAUACUUCCACACUUUUGUUGUCAAGUUCUACAGAGAAAUGUUCGUACAUGUUCAUAUCCUACUAACUAGAAUAUUGUGAGUUUCAAAGUUUAAUUUUUUUUUAAAUAUAGAUGAUGAUAUAUAAAAAAUAUAAUGUAAAAAAAUGCUAAAUGGUGAAAAGUCAUUCAUUUUCUGUCCAGCUAAUUCUUUUACAUUUUGUUUUAUUGUUUCUGAGUAAUCAUGCCAAUGAUGCAAAUUCCACAGGGACUGAGGAGAAAGAGAGAGCGGGGGAGAAAACAAGGAGGGAGCUGAGCAAAAGAGGGACGGGGAGGAAAAAGAAAGCUAGGAACAGCAUGUGUUGGAUCUCCCCAGCUGAUAUGUGUGUUUCAACCACAAGGUCCAUGCCAGGCAAGCGAAUAACUGCACUUGCAACUAUGCUACUCACACCUCCCAGGGCGAUGCAUUCAUUUUUUUCCCAAUUUUUUCUUCUACCUACCACAGCAGACCAGCAUCGCGAUGGUGUUGAUUGUUCGACUGUGCGU